AGCGAACGCUGGCGGCAGGCCUAACACAUGCAAGUCGAACGAACUCUUCGGAGUUAGUGGCGGACGGGUGAGUAACACGUGGGAACGUGCCUUUAGGUUCGGAAUAACUCAGGGAAACUUGUGCUAAUACCGAAUGUGCCCUUCGGGGGAAAGAUUUAUCGCCUUUAGAGCGGCCCGCGUCUGAUUAGCUAGUUGGUAGUGUAAUGGACUACCAAGGCUACAAUCAGUAGCUGGUCUGAGAGGAUGAUCAGCCACAUUGGGACUGAGACACGGCCCAAACUCCUACGGGAGGCAGCAGUGGGGAAUCUUGCGCAAUGGGCGAAAGCCUGACGCAGCCAUGCCGCGUGAAUGAUGAAGGUCUUAGGAUUGUAAAAUUCUUUCACCGGGGACGAUAAUGACGGUACCCGGAGAAGAAGCCCCGGCUAACUUCGUGCCAGCCGCCGCAGUAACAC
rnacentral:rRNA from 1 species